GAUGAAGAACGUAGCGAAAUGCGAUAAGUAAUGUGAAUUGCAGAAUUCAGUGAAUCAUCGAAUCUUUGAACGCACAUUGCGCCCGCCAGUAUUCUGGCGGGCAUGCCUGUUCGAGCGUCGUUUCAACCAUCAAGCCCCCGGCUUGUGUUGGGGACCUGCGGCUGCCGCAGGCCCUGAAAACCAGUGGCGGGCUCGCUAGUCACUCCGAGCGUAGUAAUACAUCUCGCUCAGGGCGUGCUGCGGGUUCCGGCCGUUAAAAAGCCUUAUUUACCCAAGGUUGACCUCGGAUCAGGUAGGAAGACCCGCUGAACUUAAGCAUAUCAAUAAGCGGAGGA
rnacentral:misc_RNA from 1 species